CAUCCAUGAUCUACACUGCAGCUGGCCUGGGUCUGCCUCUUCUUCCUGUGUGUUGUUUCUGCCCGUGGCGCUCACCUACACCAGAAUAUGGAUUUGACAGGUGUAAACACUUCCCAGGUUUAUCACCUCUGGUUUCUGGAAAUGGACUUUUGUUUUGGGAAACAGGUGGAAGAACAGCAUUCUGCCAGGGUCUGGAGCUGUUCUGCUGCCUGCUCUUUUAACAGCUGUCCAAGUGCGCAGGAAGACUUGAACCAACACUAAAACCUGGCCAGCUCUGCUCACUUGGGUCCUACAACUUAAAUGCAGUGCGCAAAAGUUUAAGCAGC